CAUGCUAGGUAAGCACACUGUCACUGAGCUCUAUCCCCAAAAGCACAAUCUCAUUCUCAAGCUUCACAACAUCUACCAAACAAGGGUUAUUUGAAGGGUGUUACCCCACCUAUUCUGAGAUGUCUUUUGUUUUAUUUUUUGAGAGAGGAACUCACUGUGUAGACCAGGUUAGCCUCAAAUUUGUGAUCCUCCUGACUCAGCCUCUCAAGCCCAGGAAUCACAGAUGCAAGUCACACUUCCCUUAUCAUUUUGAAGUACUCUUAAAUCCUCUGCCCAACUCAGAGCGGCGUGCCAGGGCCCAUGAUGUUCUCUGGUCACCACGGCUCAUUCGAGCCUUGUGGCCCUAUUAUAACAAGUACUUGGACAGAGGCUGCCUUUGCCAAAAGCACUGACUCUUCACCUGGUCUACAGAUGCCUGGCAGGUAACUAAACAGAGAUUACAUGCAAGUAUGUCUGCCUUCAUUUUGUAUCUACUUCCUUUCUGCCUUGAGCCUUGAACAAAGCCUGCAAUCCUUCUUCUUCAAAGCUGAAAGCAUCAAGUUAAGAACUAAGGGAUUUCCAACAUUUGCAGGGACAUCAUCGUGAAUAGAUUGUCAACUGCUAGCUUUUGCAGUGUCCUGCUAUGGACCAAGUAGUGUCUAAGAUUUCUGGCACUACCCUAUUCUUAAUGGAACACACGCCAUCUUGCUUCUCUGAUGUGUCUUUUUCUCUGACAGGUCAUUCUGUCUUCUAGUCAUCCUGGAACAAUGGGUCUCAUCAGUGCCCCUGAAGCCAUGCUGAAAAAUUCCUUUCCUCACCAUUGCUUCUUUCAGAAUGAAUAACUGGACCUGGCAUGUGGAGAUACAGAGCACUACUCAGCCCCCUGCAGCCUACGACUCCAGUAAUACAAGAAGCAGUGCUAGAAAUUUCCAUCCAGUGAAACUGACCAUCUUGUCUCCACAAGGACAAUGUCAAGAUGGAGAAACAAAGGCAUGAGGAGCUUAUCAUUUCCCCAAGUUGAAACGAUGCUCAUCAGCUAUUAAUGUAACCUUCUUUCCUAUGUCAUGUACUCCUUCGACCCAAUUCCUUCUGCAUCCUCUUCCAUCCCGAUGAGUAACCGUGAAGUACAGGUCAUGUUCUCUACUGAGACGCUGCAAUGAACAAAGCAUUGGACUGGGAGCACAGGAAGGAUUCUGUUGCCAGUGGCCAUGGUAAAAUCACAACCCCGUUGGCUUCAGUUUUAUCCGCAAGUAAGAAUGCCAGUGAUUCCUACUUGAACCCGUAGGCUAGACAUAAAAGUCAAAUGUGAAGGUAGAAAGGGAAGGUCCCUGGAAGGUCAUAUAUUUUGAGUAACCCCAGUGACUCUUUAUAUCUGUGCUGCUGGCAAUUGUGUGGCUUUGCUGAGCAGUGUAAAAGUGGGUUGUACAUGUGGACGUGCUCCAGCUCUGAGCUACGAGCUGUCCUUCCAUGUGUCACGCAUUGCUUUUAACACUCUCCAAGGUCCCCAGGUGGCUCCUGCCCAGCCUGCUCAUGAGGCCUGCUAGGGCUCCUGAUUCCAUCCACAAUCACAGCCCAGAGACGGAAGCACCCAUAGGGUGUGGCUGUCUGCACCCAUGGCUGUGUGGAGGGUGAGAAAGAUCACCCAGAGAUGGGCCUUUGUUCAGUCACCAAGAGGACCCAAAGCUAAGAGAGUUUCACAGAAACAGCCAAAGGUCAGACCUCUGAAGCUAUUUAUCCAUAACUCAAGGCCAUGAGAACAAAGAUGCAGAAGAACAACAUUGCCACAUAAUGUACAGGAGUUCUGGUCAGGGGACAGAGCCAGAGUGGGAUGGUUGGUUAAGUGACACGAGCCAACAUAGUUUAGGCAAUCUUGGGGACAGAGCAAACACAAUGGCCAAGGCAAACAUCUCAGAAGAAACUGCUUUUAAUUCUGCUGACUGUCAUUGGGCAGAUUCUGCUCUCAACCCUAACCAUGCAUCCAAAAAUCCUGGGAACUGUUGUUCCUAGAAUCCAUCCUUAUCACACUCCAAUUCAGUUACAGUGCUGUACCAGUCACAAACUUAUUCUUUCCAUGAUUCAGGUCAAAAAUGAACUUGGAUGAGAACUGAAUCAGUGGUCCGAAUAAGGCCAACACUAAACCUAACCACUGAAUUUGAUUUGUUUCUCAUUCAGCUCGGUUUGUGACCAGAAUUGUGGAAAUAAUUAAGUUCAUGAACCAUGAUAUCACUGGAUCACAACCUGUGUCCCCAAAGUGAGUGGCUCCACUGCAGCCCAAGCCAUGCCCUGGUGAGCUCAGUUAGGAGAUAAUGGAAAGUUCCCGUGGACUGGAGGCAUCGUCUGGAGUUGAGCAGCCUGAGAUAUUCCUCACACACUGAUCAGAUCUGGCUUUCCCUCUUGCAGUGAUUGAAGAUUAACUAUUUUGGUCGUCACUCUGGGAAAAGCUUUGCCUGCCUUCAGUGAGACCAAGACAACAGAGAGACCUCAGUAAAAAGAAGAGAGACCAGAACGGUUUCCAAAGCAGGCCCCCAGCUCAUGCCACAAGGAAAGAAGGAAGCCACAUUGAGGCAUAAGCACUACGGAACAAGCCAAAUGGAUGCUUUGACAGUCUUUUGUAAUUUUUUGUACAUGUCUUCAGACAUCACCCUUGGAGAGACUCUUCAAAGAAAAUUCACAAUGGACAUUUAAGGAAUCGUGGGACAGGACAGAAAAUGGCAAGGGCCUAAGGGCAAGCCUUUCAGAAUGAGUAGGGAUAAGAAGACAGGACACACAGAACCCCAAGAAAGAUAGAUGGGAGCACGCAGCUAAGUGGGAGAUGGAGGACAAAACUCCUAUCAUAAGACUCCCAAUGGAUUCCUAAAAACACAUUUUCACCUCAGGACCAGAAAUUCUAUUAGUUAUCUCCAAGACAAAAGUAAAGAAAUGUCAGCUCUCUUUGCUCACAGGUAGAAUUCUAGUGAGAUGAGAAAAGGACAGAGAAAAUGUGGUACAGAUUGUGAUGGAGCACUUUCCAGCCACGAAGAAGGAUGAGCUUGAGUCCUGGGUAGGCAGGGGAUGCGCCUUGAAACCGCAAUGGGAAGGGAAACAGAUCAGACUCAGAAGAAUGAAUAUCGCUUGGUUUCCUUAUAUGAGAAACACAAAGUAUAACUAAAUUAGAGGCAAACAAAAUAAAUGUGAUAUGAAACAGCGAGACACUGAAGAGAUGGGGUAGGGGGCUGCGUGAGGAGGGAAAGGGAAGUGAAAAGGAUCCAGAAGCACUGUGCACUCAGCUCCGUGAUGAGUUGGUUACACACCAUGAAGGUGCGCUCACAAGACAAGCAACCGUGAAGAGUUCUGAUAGGGCAAACAGGAAGGGCAGCACAGGAAAGACAGGCGUGCGGUGUCUGUGUGGGUUCAUAGAGGGCGCUGGCUGGGACAAGUCACUUGCUACACACUCCACAGGUGGCCGAGGACAGACAAGGGCAGAGGAGCCCUCUGAGCUGCUUCCUUUGCGAGGCCCAGGGUCUGGGCAGAGAAGGAGCCCUGGGAAGAACAAAGGAGGGGGCAGAAGAAACCCAGUCACCAGGAAGGUCUCCGUGGGAAGCUCCACUCUGGGCUCCUCCUCUGCAGAGAGUGCUCUCUCAGCAAUCCUUCAGACCCACACGCAGCCUUGUCCCGGGACACGGCACCAGGCCCCCCUGCACAUCCUCAGCUGCAUCUGUGCAAGUUGACUUCGGGCUGCUCGGUGCUCUGCUGCACCUUUCCAGAUGGAUGCUGACAAAUGCAGUUGUAGACAGAGUGACACUUGACACCAGUGGGAAUGAAUCCUCUGUGCUCGGCCAAUGCACUUCCCAAGAUCUGUCGAUCCAAUCAUGGAGGAGACACAGGCUCCCAUCAGGAAAACCUGGGCAAGAUGCUUGGAUUUCCUUUGAAAGAGAUGAAAGAGAAAAACCCAGGUCAGGGAAACUCAUGGCCUCACAGCUGAAAAUGGAACCAUGGCCACCACUUGUCCUAGGAAACAUCACAAGGGUGAAGGUGGAAGGGGGUAAGGAGGAAGCCCUGUAUCAUCCCACUAACAGCAUACAGUGAGAAACAUGUUUAAACAUUGAAGGGGAAAUGAGAAGAAAACAUGGGGGAGGCUCCCACAGGGUUGGGUCCACGCCAUGGGGAGCCACGGGCUGCAGAGUCCAUGCAGGGGCACCCGUGUGGUGGCUCCCUGUUCACGGUGUCACAGGCUGCCCGGUUGGUAUAGAGCUGGCUUCUGUGCUUCCCUGUCUCCUGGCUGCUCCCACUGGGAAGGCUCACCUGGGCUGCAACACCGAAUGGUCUUGCACUCAGACCUCAGCCCCCGAGGAGUGAUACUGGUAGGCAAGGGCUGAGCACACUGUGGUUUCCCAGGCCCUGUGCAGGCUCUAACUGGGCCUGCUGCUCCACACCACCAGCGCCCUGCUCCCCCUCUUGCUGCGAGCCCAGGUGCCCUCCACACCGCCGUCCUCCUGUGUGAGGGCCAUGCUGUUCUCAGGCCUCCUAACCAGUUCACCCUAGUGGUGGACACCUGUGUGAGGUGGAUGACGCUCUGAGGUUCUGGGCACCUGCCACAACCUCCAAGGUUUCUUGGGGGCCCGAAUUCUGGCUCUAGUCCUUCUAGAGUUGCUGUGGUCACAUCAUGGUAUAGUAAACUGAAGAGGCAGGAUUUGAACUCGGGUCUUGUGCAUAGCUGCAGGAAGGCAGCAGAGAAAGAACAGGGGCAGGAAGCAGCUGCGGCUGCCGCUGAGAGCAGGCUGUGGCCCUCUGUGCCUCUUCAGAGCUGCAUGUUUUUCCUUUUAUGUAAAUAUAGCAAGGGAAGUUGGUAGGCCUCAGAGCAGGAGUUUCUGUCUGCUCUUAGAGCCUCCCUAGAAUGUUCUGAGGCAGGAGCUGAGGAGCAAGCUCCUGGAGAGCCCUGGAGAGGCUCAGGAAUUCCAGCUGAAGGGCAGGCAUGCUAGGCUGGGUCCUGCAUCGGGACAGGCGGGAAAUGUAUGAUGAACUGCUGGCUGCACCUCUGUGAGGCCCCUAUCCGGCCAAGCAGCACCCACUCUGGGUGGGAGGGAGUCACUAGGAGGGGAACUGAACCCAAGAAGCCCUGGGGCAUGGUGGGAAUGGAGAAGGUGGGAAUGAAGGCCAGACCAUGAGCAAGGUCGAGGGUAAGAGCACAGGUAACGCUGGGGUCCUACCAUAACACAAUAGGCUGUCCCCCAAGAUGGCCCUAGAGAAACCAUUCCCUACAAGUGCUCCUCCUGUAGCAGAGGGAACCAUGCCCUGAAGUCGCAUGCGCCAUUGCUGUGUUCUAAACAGACGGCAAAAUAGGGUGAGUGCCCGAGUGUUGUGCCUAUGGACCAGCAGAUCCAUCCCCUGCAUCCCUCCCGCACUGCCCCUCACCCUGCAGGACAUCUGGUUCUCAUGCUCUUUAUGUGAUAGUGAGGAGAUGCAAGGAAGUACUUAUACCCACCAGACACGCAUGCGCACGCGCACGAGCACACGCACACGCACACAUACCCACCCACAUACAAAGGUACACACAGGUGUUUUGAGGGAACUACAGUUUCUUUCAAAACUCCUCUCUGGUAGGAAACACACUGUCCUGUCUUAAUCAUUCCCUUGCUUUACUUUACAGUUUUAUGAGAUGUUUGUAUUGGUUUCGUAUGCUUGAGGAUUUUACAUAAAUGGAAUCAUAGAGUUUAUUCUUCCAUGACUUUUUUUUACAGUUAAUAUUAUGUUUCUGAGAUGUAUCUUAAGUGUUGCCUAUAUCUGUGGGGAGUUCCUUUUCUCUGCUGCAUAGUGUCCUACUGGAUAUACCGCAUUUAAUUUUUCUACUGUUCUACUGGUCAUUUUAUGGACUCCUGUGUCACUUCAGAAUCAUUCGGUGAUUGACACCAAUAUGUGGACAGUAUCAGAGCUAGAAGCCUGGGCACAUGCAGGUGACCAUAUACUCAGAUAUUCCUUAAACAAACAAACAUACAAACAAAGAACAUGGAAAGUGAGUCCAAUGCUACUUGAUGAUGCAAAGGAGACUAAUCUCAAGAUUAAUUGGAAUUAGUGAAAAAUUGGAAUAUAGCAUACAUUACACAAAAACUAUUUGCAGAAAUAGUAGAAAACUUACCAAGUAUAGGCGAAGAGGUGGCUGAAUCAAGAGUGUGUGAUGGAUCCAUGGUGUGAUGCUAGGGUCAAGGGCACUAGGAUUAAGGGUGUGAGUGCUGCCUGCCAUGAGAAGCCAGGAUAAAAGAUAAGUGAUAGAAAAGUUGUGGUUGUCUCUUGCUUGUUCUGCUGCCUUCUGCCCACCAUAAACUGUUUCUCGUCUGCAAUGCCUGCCUGCCAUGGCACUCUGCUUGGAGCCAACUGAUUAUGGACUGAAACCUUAACAAAAUGUUAUAUGAAUAAACUUUUCCCCUUUAAAAAAUCUGAUGGAGACGUAAGUUCUUUCCAUGACAAAGAGCACCUUCAGAAAUUCAUGACCACCAGACCAGCACCAAAACCUUCUCAAGGAUAUCCUAGAAAGAGAAAAUAAAGUCAAAAGUGCCCAAAUCUAAUGAGCUGAAUACACCAAGAAUAAUGAGCUAUUAAGCAUAAGGGAGAGAAAAGGAAUCAGCAAAAGGAAACUAGUGCACUGGCAGGAAUAAGUCAGUACCUUUCACUCUUAACUAUCAAAGUAAAUGGCUUCAAUUCUGCAAUCAAAAGACACAGAUUGGUGUAUUGCACUCAAAACAAAGCCCAACAGUUUGCUGUAUGCAAGAAACACAUUUAAUUAAAAUUAUUCAUCAAUAAAAAAAAUCAAAGGAUGGAAAAUGUUAUUCUAUGAAUGGGAGCCAAAAGAGAAGCAAGAAAAGGGAACCUGUCUACAGCCAAGGUGGACUUCAAGCCAAAACUGAUCAGAAGAGACAGUGAAGAACACUUCACACUGUGGAAACAAUUUAAAAGAUAGAGAUGACAAUUGUAAAAAUAUAUGCACUGAACACCAGCACUCCCAAAUGUAGAAAACAAAUCCUCUGAACAAAACAGAUCAGAUAACUAUAAUCACAGUGAUUGUGGGUACCACAAUAUCACAAAUACACAGGUCAACUAGACAAAAAAUUUUAAAAACCACAGUGGGGACUGGAUACCCUACUGCACGCAUUUAAUCCCACCACUUGGGAACCUGAGGCAGGAGGAUAACCAUGAAUUCCAGGCCAGCCAAAGCUACACAAUGAGCUCAAGGCCAGUCUAAGCUACACAGUAAGACCUUGUCUUAAAAAAAAAAACCUCUGGGCAUGGCAGUGCAUGUCUGUAAUCUACACUUAGGAUGCUGAGGCAGGAUGAUUGCUAUGAGUUUAAGGCCAGCCUGGGCUUCAUAGUUCAAGGCAAAUCUGCACUACAAAACUUAUUCUAGUUUGUCUCAACACCCACUCCCCACAAAUUACAGUUGAAUUACACCUUCAUACAAAUGGACUUAAUAGAAAUAUAUAGGGUGUUCUAGCUAACAAAAACAGAAUAUACUUUCUUCUCAACAACACAUAAAAUUUUCUAAAGAGUUGACAGCAUAUUAGCCCAUGAGCCGUGCUUAAAUACAAAAGAAUCAAUUAUGCCAUGCAUAUUAUCAGAUUGCAGGGCAAUGAAACUACAAAUGAAUGGCAAGGAAACAACAGAAAUUAUACAAACAUAUGGAAAUUAAAUAAUAUUCUCUUGAAUAUUCAGUGCAACAGAAAAAAUCAAGGAAGAAAUUAGACAAUUCCCAGAAUCAAAUGAUAAUGCCAGCACAACAUAUCAGAACUUAUGGGGCACUAUGAAGGAGUUCUAUGGGAUGUUUAUAGUUAUUAAUAUAGUUGUUAUAGACCAGAAAAAACAGAGCCCAAAUAACCUAAUGGUGAACCUUGAGGUCCUAGAAAACUAAGAACAAUCCUAAUUUAAUGUUAGUACCUAGAAGAAAAUAAUACAGUUUAGAGCAGAAAUUAAUGAAUUGAAACUUUAAAAAGUACAAAAAAUCAAUGAAUUAAAGAACUGACUCUUUGAAAGAAUAAAAAUGAUAGACAAACAUUUAGUCAAUCUUAAUGAAAGAAGAUAUCAAUAUCAGUUUAAUAAAAUUACAGUGGACACUGCCCAAAUACAGAUUAUUAGUAUUUACUUUGAAAAUUUGUACUCUGAUAAAUUGAAGAAUCCAGAAGAAAUACAUAGAAUUCUAGAUAUACAAAUUAAUAAAAGUGAACCAAAAAAAUCUAAAAACCCUGAAAAAUUCAAUGACAAGCAAUGAAAUUGAAGCAGUAAUAAACUUACCAACUAAGAAAAGUCCAGGAUCUGAUGGAUUUACUUCUCACAGUUCUGCAGGAACUUCAGGGAAGAUAUAACACCAAUACUCCUCAAACCCUUUAAUGAAACUGAAGGGUAAAGAGUACUCCGAACGUCAUUCUUGGAAGCUCUCGUGACUCUGAUUCCAAAACCAGAAAUAGACCCAACUGAAAAAGAAUACGAGAGGCCACUCUGUUUAACACAGACACAGAGAUUUUCAACAAGAUGUGAAAAGCAGAAUGCAACGAAUCAGUGGUGCAUGUCUGUACCCCCAGAACUCAGGAGGCUGAAGCAGAAGGAUUGUAGUGAGUUUAAAGCCAAUCUGGCUCCUAGUGUGUUUGAGGGAAGCCUGGACUGUGUGGCAAGACCCCCCCCCCAAGAAAUGCAAUGAAUCAGCGUAAAGAUCGUAUCAGUAGGCUUUGUCCUAGGGAUGCAAGGUUGACUCAACAUACACACAUUAAUAAAUGUUAAGCUUCAGAUACACAAACAGGAACAAAAAUCACAUGUACAUCUUAUUAGAUACAGAAAAAUCCUUCAAUAAAAUCUAAUAUCCUUUCACAAUAUAAAUUCUCAAGGUAUAGAACAACCUUAUUCCAAUCUGAUUAAAGUCAAUUAUGACAAAUCUACAGCUAACAUUAUAUUGCAUGGAUAAAAACAAAAGUAUUUUUGCUUCUACACUCACGAAUAAGAUGAGGAUCCCACUGUCACACCAUUCCAGUUCAAUAUAGUUCUCAAAACAUUAGCCAGAACAAUCAGAGAUGAGAAAGAAAUAAAAGGAUAAAAAUUAAAUUGUCAUUAUUCACAGAUGAUAUGAUCCUUUACAUAGAAGAUCCAAAAAAUUCCAUCAAAAGACACCUAGAAUACAUUGAGAAUGAUAGCAGAAUAUAAAAUAAACACAUGAAAAUUAAUAGCUUUCCUGUACACCAAUAAUGAAGGUAUUGGGAAAUUAGGGGAAAAUACCAUUCAUGAAGAAAAAUUAAGUACUGAGGAAUUAGUCUGAGGUGGAUCCCUGGGACCUACGAAGGAUCUGAAGGGAGAAUUGGGGCCCACAGGAGAAGAGACCGACUUCAACACAGAAAAAAGACAGCAAUCUGCACUUUGCCCCUGACUCCCAGCUCUGGGUAUGAGUGAGGAGGCUCAGAUCUAAAGACACAGUGAUUGCAGGGCCCUCCCUGGAGAAACACACCAGUAGAGUGGAGAAGUGGAUACUGUCAACUACAAUAGCUGGUGAAUGACUUCAGUCCUGUAGUCCGCGGGAAAGAGUGUUUGGCCAGAUAUUAUUUUAGGGAGGGCAAAAUGAACCUGGGACUCAGACCAGCCAUGUAUUCCUCUCAGGGCUCCCACUGACAGGAAAAGGCACAACUGCAAUAGACAUCCAGGGCCAUGGAGCCAAGGCCAAGCAUGUGAGAGACACCCAGAGUAUUGUAGGCUGCACAGCUAGAGCCCCAACCCCACCAUCACAGGCCAGGGUCAGCUUGAACUUCUCUGGAGUUGAAAGCACCAGAUCAGGUAACCCACCCCCUUCCUACUGAAGGAUUAAUGGGGUCCUCUAAGAUGGAUGUGGGUUCUGUCUGCCUUCUUGGUCUAUAGCGACAAUGGAGAGGUGUCUUGAACUGGAAACUGCUACAGAGCUGUAGAUGCCAGAAGAGAGCCAUAGGCUCGAAAUCACAUUUUUCUUUUCUUUCUUUUUUUACAAUUGGUUUUAGUUUUUUAUUUUGGUGUUUUUAGAUAUUUUGCUUUGUGUAGUUCUUGUUCUUGUUUUUUUUUUUUUUUCUUUCUCGCCUGGUGUCUUCUCCACCAGUGUCUCAAAGUUUGAGUAAUCUUCCUUUGUCCUUCAGCCUUGUUUUUAAUCUUUCUCUCUCUCUCUUUUUUUGUUGUAGGUUUAAAUAACACUCUAUUGAGGGGAUAUUUACUGUACAUAAUCUUCUGAUUUGUUUUAGAUCUUGUUAUAGAACCAAAAAUCUUGUACCUGUGGUUAAAGGUGGCAGGUUAACAUAACACAGUUUGCCAUUUUGUAGAAUGUGCUUCAUACAAUUGUUAUCACUGACCAUACUACUUUAGCCAAGGUGACAUAGUUGUGAUCAACUGUUCCUCCUUGAAUGAUAAUAUUGAGAAUGUCUGAGAAUCAUAAACAAUACCAUAGUGCAGUACCAAAGACCUGGGUGCUAGACAACUAGGCAGCAAUUUCUCAUCCCUAAGAAAUAAAAGAGGCAGGGUCUUGGGACAGACUCAAAAGCCAAAAGACAACUGUACCUAGAUGACAUCUCUGAAAAAGCAGUCAUUUCCUAAGGAGGUCUCAGUACUAUUAAAAAGCUACCUACAUAAACAAUUACAAAUAUCAAUGAAGAAAACAAAUGUUUAAAAAAUGCAACGUGACAAGACAUGAAAGUAAGGCCCAAUACCAGGCCUCUAGCUCAUGCAAGGCAAAUCCAGGGAGCACUGAGGUGGAAGAAAUCAGAAGGCAUCCAGCUGAAGUUUCUAAUAUGGUUGCAGUGUAAGCAACAAAGCAGUUGGAUGAGGCUCUGGAAAAAACAAAUCUGGGGUGCUGCUCAGUGGUGAUGUCACUGCCUAACAUAUACAGAGUUCUGGAUUAAAUCUCUGCCAAAGAGUAAUGCUAAAAAAGUCUAAAAUAUUUACUAUGUAGCCAUUGUAUGGAGGAAAAGAAUGCAUUAGUACCCUGAGUUGAUCAUUUGGCAUUGUAUACACAUAUCAGAUUAACAUAUUGUGUCCCAGCAGGGCGUGGUGGCACACGCUUGUGAUCCCAGCCCUCAGAAAGCUGAGGAAAAGAGGAUAAUUGUGAGUUCAAAACCAGUCCGGACUACAAAGUGAGCUGACGGCCACCCUGAACUGCAUAGUAAGACCGUCUCAUGAAAGAAAAAAAACCGUGUUGUGUCCCAUAACGUGUACAAGUACCAUAUGCCAUGUAAAAAUUUAGGACUUUAAAAAAUAAAGGUUGUGUACAUAUACAUAUAUGUACAUUAAAAAGAUAGUUACACAACUAGUUGUUUCUCUGAGUUCACUGAAGAGAAAGAUUUGUGCCAGUAUUGUUUGGGCAAUUGAAUGCAGAUGUCUUGUGCUCUGGGUGAAUGAUUUGGGGAUGACAAUGUGCAAUGCAUGUACCAUUGUUGCCCCCUGACUAUUAUUAAAAAGCUACCUACAUAAACAAUUUACAAAUUUGAAAUUUUCUUUUAUCUUGUUUUCUUUUUUAUUCUCUUUGAAAUAUAAUGAAUUUAAAUGAAAUAUAGGUGUCCCAGGAAUUUGAUGAUCAGAUAGGAUGGGUUUGUCAAACAUUGACAGUUGCUACAUGGGAAAAUUUUGAUUGGUUCCUUUUUGACUCUAGGAGAACCAGUUUAAUGGGGUCAUUUGAAAAUGGAAAAAUUAAAGGAAAGCCUUACUUGGAAUAGGGAUGUUGCAGGCAGCUGAUUUACUUAGUAUUGUAAAAUGUCUUCAUGUUGGGCCUCCUCUUAGAAAUAAAUAUAAUACCCUUUUCACUAUA